AUGUCAUGAUGUCAUAUUUUGUCAUUCUGACAAAAUACCAGCUUGCUGCAGCCAACACAGCCACAGGAUUUUUAUUAUUUCUCUCUAGUAAUUGAAAUGGCCAUCAAAUUAAUGAUUUAUUUGGAUGGAAGUAAGGAAGAGUUACAGGCUGGAUAACCACUACAGUAGUCUGAACUUUUUGUUCAUAUUAAAUAACAAUGGUUCCAUAAGAAUUUGAAGUCUUUCUCUGAGGAUAAAAGCUGCAUAUAUAUAUAGGAAUUGAUGGAUAAGAAUUCAAGAUAAUGCUAUGUACUGUGCUCAGUGGGAUUUACUUACAAUUAAUAAUUUAAGACUGCACUGUAAAGUUAUCUAUUCUGUUGGAUAAUAGAUAAUGGAAAACCCACAUUAAAUAAUUGGAACAUGAAAACAAAACCAAAUAAAUAACUCUAUAGCUUCUACUAACUAUGAGAGAGUUCAUAUCCUUGUGGCCUUUUGGUUUACUGGUUGUCUGAAAAAGAAAAGGAAUUCCAAAAUAAAGCAUGCUGUUUCCCACAAACUGGAUGCCCAAAAUCUGUGACUAAUAAUUUUGUAAUUAAUAGACCAGGAUGUUACACUAUAUUCCCAGGAUCCAUAAUUAUAAAGUGGGUUAAUGAGUGACAGCUGUUGUUAUGGGCCAGGUCCAGGGCUUAAACUCUAAAUCUGAUUCUGAAGAAGUUGCUCCAGCUGAACCUGUGGAAUGUCAGCCUCAGGAGAGGAAGCCAGGGAUCACGAGGCUGAUCGAAACCAGGCAUCAUCUGAACAGCUGGAUCAGUCAGAUGAUAAUUAUAUAAGGCUUCUCAGCCUCUGCACCUGGUGAGUAGAACAGAGAUGUUCUAUGACACUCCUUGCCAAAUCAAAGCUGAUUUUAGAGGCGAGGUUUUUUUUAGUGGAAGGAACUGUCUGAUCUCUAGUUCUCGCAUGACAUUUGUGCGGAUUCUUCCUGUGAAAUUUUAACAUCUGGAUUGUCUGACAACCUUGACCUGACUCUUGGAAUCUUGGGCUGAUUUCAGACUAUUCUGAAUGUUCCUGUUAAAAGCAAACCAUUCAAGCAAUGUUUUGUCAGAGACUCUUUUUUGCAUUCUUUGACUGUUGUAUUCUUGUUGACCUUGAUUAAACCAUGAACUACCAUAUCCACGGUUUGUGAGUCACUGUUUGAAACCAGAAACAGCAGGA